rnacentral:tRNA from 1 species
GGUGCUGUGGCAUAGCAGGUAAAGCUGCUGCCAGCAUCCAAUAAGGACGCCGGUUCGAGUCCUGCCUGCUCCA